UUUGACCGUGCAAAGGUAGCAUAAUCAUUAGUCUUUUAAUUGAAGGCUGGUAUGAAUGGUUUGACGAAAUAUAAGCUGUCUCUGUGUAAUGUUAUGUAAUUUAACUUUUGAGUCAAAAGGCUUAAAUAAUUAUAAAAGACGAGAAGACCCUAUAGAGUUUUAUUUAUAAUUUUAUCUAUGGUGUUUAGUNGAAGUAUUUAUGGAUAUAAAUUAUAUAUUUUGUUGGGGUGACAUAAAGAUAUAAUAAACUCUUUGUGAUUCAAACAUUGAUUUAUGAAUAUUUGAUCCAUUCUUAGUGAUUAGAAGACAAAGUUACCUUAGGGAUAACAGCGUAAUUUUUUUUGAGAGUUCUUAUCGACAAGAAAGAUUGCGACCUCGAUGUUGGAUUAAGGGAUAUAACUAGGUGUAGAAGUUUAGUUAAUAAGUCUGUUCGACUUUUAAAUCCUUACGUGAUCUGAGUUCAGACCGG
rnacentral:rRNA from 1 species